AGUCUUUGCAGUAAUGCAAGGCAUACGGCUCAGUAACACGUAGUCAACUUACCCUAUGGACGAGGAUAAUCUCGGGAAACUGAGCAUAAUACUCGGUAGAUCAUGAUGCCUGGAAUGGUUUAUGGUUGAAAUGAUUCGUCGCCAUAGGAUGGGACUGCGGCCUAUCAGCUUGUUGGUGAGGUAAUGGCCCACCAAGGCGAUUACAGGUACGGGCUCUGAGAGGAGAAGCCCGGAGAUGGGUACUGAGACAAGGACCCAGGCCCUAUGGGGCGCAGCAGGCGAGAAAACUUUGCAAUGUGCGAAAGCACGACAAGGUUAAUCCGAGUGAUUUCUGCUAAAGAAAUCUUUUGCAAGUCAUAAAACCACUAGUGAAUAAGGGGUGGGCAAGUUCUGGUGUCAGCCGCCGCGGUAAAACCAGCACCUCAAGUGGUCAGGAGGAUUAUUGGGCCUAAAGCAUCCGUAGCCGGCUCUGUAAGUUUUCGGUUAAAUCCAUGUGCUCAACGCAUGGGCUGCCGAAAAUACUGCAUAGCUAGGGAGUGGGAGAGGUAGACGGUACUCGGUAGGAAGGGGUAAAAUCCUUUGAUCUAUCGAUGACCACCUGUGGCGAAGGCGGUCUACCAGAACACGUUCGACGGUGAGGGAUGAAAGCUGGGGGAGCAAACCGGAUUAGAUACCCGGGUAGUCCCAGCUGUAAACGAUGCAGA
rnacentral:rRNA from 1 species